CAUUAGGUAGCUUAAGUAUAAAGCAUUAAUCUUUUAAAUUAACAAUGGGUGUGAGCUCUCUAGUGA
rnacentral:tRNA from 1 species